AUUGAAUGAAAAACAGUUGGUGCCGCAAAAGACUGCGGAGAAUAGGGAAACAGGUGAAAGGCCUGUGCGAUCUCGUCACUGUAUGCAGGAGCAGAUUGCCAAUAUGUCACUGAGUAAUCGGGAAGACGGCAAUGUGCGCCAGACUGCGAGCCAGGAGACCUGCCAGCUGUGGUACGGGGAUG
rnacentral:ncRNA from 20 species